rnacentral:rRNA from 1 species
UACGGAGGAUCCGAGCGUUAUCCGGAUUUAUUGGGUUUAAAGGGUGCGCAGGCGGGAGAUUAAGUCGGCGGUGAAAUUUUGCAGCUCAACUGUAAAAGUGCCUUCGAAACUGGUUUCCUUGAGUGUAGAUGAAGUAGGCGGAAUUUGUGGUGUAGCGGUGAAAUGCAUAGAUAUCACGAGGAACUCCGAUUGCGCAGGCAGCUUACUAAACUACUACUGACGCUCAGGCACGAGGGCGUGGGGAUCAAACAGGAUUAGAUACCCCGGUAGUCCCU